rnacentral:rRNA from 1 species
AACGAACGCUGGCGGCAUGCCUAACACAUGCAAGUCGAACGAGACCUUCGGGUCUAGUGGCGCACGGGUGCGUAACGCGUGGGAACCUGCCCUUAGGUUCGGAAUAACUCCCCGAAAGGGGUGCUAAUACCGGAUAAUGUCUUCGGACCAAAGAUUCAUCGCCUUUGGAUGGGCCCGCGUUGGUUUAGCUAGUUGGUAGGGUAAAAGCCUACCAAGGCGACGAUCCAUAGCUGGUCUGAGAGGAUGAUCAGCCACACUGGGACUGAGACACGGCCCAGACUCCUACGGGAGGCAGCAGUGGGGAAUAUUGGACAAUGGGCGAAAGCCUGAUCCAGCAAUGCCGCGUGAGUGAUGAAGGCCUUAGGGUUGUAAAACUCUUUUACCCGGGAUGAUAAUGACAGUACCGGGAGAAUAAGCUCCGGCUAACUCCGUG